rnacentral:lncRNA from 1 species
GAAAAUUUUCUUACUCUACCUCCUAGUUCUGGAGUCGCUUCUAUUAAGUUGUGGCGGAAUUUGACGGCAUUGCUUGAAAGCUGUAAAGCCGAACACCCGGCGGAGCACAUUCUAGACUGUUGCAACGGGCUUUUUCUUCUAGCAUCUAGAUCUUCCAAUCCGACUCAGUAUUUCGUGAGCAACCCACCACGUCUGAAUGUAUCAGAAUUCCUGUUAACCCCUUACACGGUGAUUUCAAG